AACGAACGCUGGCGGCAGGCUUAACACAUGCAAGUCGAGCGCCCCGCAAGGGGAGCGGCAGACGGGUGAGUAACGCGUGGGAACGUACCUUUUGGUUCGGAACAACUCCGGGAAACUGGAGCUAAUACCGGAUAAGCCCUAACGGGGAAAGAUUUAUCGCCGAAAGAUCGGCCCGCGUCUGAUUAGCUAGUUGGUGAGGUAACGGCUCACCAAGGCGACGAUCAGUAGCUGGUCUGAGAGGAUGAUCAGCCACACUGGGACUGAGACACGGCCCAGACUCCUACGGGAGGAAGCAGUGGGGAAUAUUGGACAAUGGGCGCAAGCAUGAUCCAGCCAUGCCGCGUGAGUGAUGAAGGCAUUAGGGUUGUAAAGCUCUUUUGUCCGGGAAGAUAAUGACUGUACCGGAAGAAUAAGCCCCGGCUAACUUCGUG
rnacentral:rRNA from 1 species